rnacentral:lncRNA from 1 species
AUGGCUGCAAACAACCCUCAUUUGACAAAGAAGCGAAACUCUCGAUGUGCGCUGGGCAGAUCCAUUAUCAAACGCAUUGCUGAGAUCCCAGAGGCCAUCAGUCGACAGAGCAGUCGAGAAGAAAGAGACGGAUCCAUCCGCAGUAGAGGUGGGAAUCAUACUGACUCUUUUAGGAGGUCCCCAGAUACUGUCAGCAUCUCUUACAGAAGCUCAAUGAGAUCACCAAUGCCAUCGCCUACACCAUCACUGCGCAAGUCUUACAGUGACCAUCACUCUGUCACUGCGAGGCAAUCCUCCUUUCAUGGCUUGAUGUUAGGACCUAAUUCUAUCAAGAGAGCUUCCCAUCUUUCCGAGACCGACUCCUUGGAUAUUCCAGCAGGGGUCUGCAAGUCAGCCAGUGCCCAGAAUCUGACUAUUGAUACUAAUCUCCUGCACCCCGAUCAUACAAGAAUUUAUAAAACGUGGAGCUUGAUCUCUACUUCCACACAUUCUAUUGAGAAUAUAGCUAAGAUUAGCAGAGCCAACACAAUGCACUCAAGUCUUUCUAUUAGUGACCAAACCAAAAGUGCUCUCCAGUCCGGGUCGUUUGAUAAGGCUGAAGUCUGUCCUUGGGAAGUGGAGCAAGAACAAUCAAGUGACAAGAACCAGAGACAUGUCUCAUAUGCAAAUUCUGUGGAAAAUGAAGAGAAACAGCCCACGUCACCACAGGGAAUUAUCUGUCCAUGGGACCAUUUACCACCUUUAGAAAGAAAUCCAUCAGAAACAGAGUCAUUUAAACCACAGGCUCCUGUUUCUGCGAGUGCUCCAGGAUCUCCGAGACCAAGGGUCACCAAGGAUCAGCGAGUUUUCUCCUUCCGUUCUCCCACUUCUAAGUGGCUUUCUGUGAAAUCAUUUAUGGGAUCCUUGGAUGCAGGAAACAAUGUGCCCAAAGACAGCAAUUCUAACAAAGACGAUUCCUGCUCUCAAAAAAGUCAGGAAAGUACAAAAUCUAGAACAUCCAAUAGACAUCCAAGCAUAGAAAAAAGGUCACUGCAGAAAAGAAGCAUGACAACUGUAGAGGGUAAACCAUGCCUGGUAAAGCAAAAUGCAAUCAGGCUGUCCUCUGGGGAUUCCAUGGACAGAAGUCCACGAAGACUUGUCAUUGUAAAAUCUGGCAUCUACCCUUGGGAUGUGGAUGAUAUGCAAAAAGAUAAUACCUAUGAAAAUGUGUUUUUGUCAAGGCAGAAUAGUAAACGCAGCAUUAGCUCUUGGGAGACAUCCUGCAGUGCUAGAACCCCAUCCACUCACAGAAGAGUGAGUAAUAGAAUAACACCAAUCCAACAAGUUUCUCACAUAGAUGUUUGCCCAUGGGAUGUACCUGGUACCCUCCAGCAAGAAGAAAAACAACAGCAACAGCAAAGUAUCAAAGCAGAUAUCUGCCCAUGGGAAUCGCAGGUGUCCAAUAUUUGUCCUUGGCAAACUCCAGAGAAAGUUGAUUUGCAAGGAGAAGGCAGUGGUAGUGACGAUGUGCAUUCUUGGAAAUCACAAGACACUUGUAGUAGUUCACAAACAAAUGUUUCAAAAAACACACUGACACAAAAGUCUUCUCAAAAAAAAUCAGACAUUUGUCCUUGGGAGGCUGAAGAAUCUGCUCAGACUUUAAAAGCACCAGAUUCCCAUUAUGCAACUAUCUGCCCUUGGGAUGAUAAAGAAAAGACUGAAGUUGUAUAUGAAAACUUAAAUCUUUUGACAAACAAAGGAACAUUAACAGUGCCAUUGCAACAAGAAGUAAACAAGUCUGCAAUCUAUCCCGGAGCACCAAAAGAAAUUCUAAGCAACAUGCAACAAUAUCCUUCAAUAUCACCUGCAGUUGCUACUUGGGGCAAGCAGGCUGCCAAGACAACAGAAAGUUGUCCUUGGGAGUUUCCUGAUCCUCCCAAAAUCUUGGAAGAUAUCUGUCCAUGGGAAGAGGAAAACACAGAAACAAGGACUUCAGAAAGCCCAAGAGUAAAUGUAUGUCCAUGGGAAUCAGAAAGCCAAAUACAAGCAAAGCCAGAGACUUUGCAAAUAAUCCAGAGCCAAGCAAAGCAAGACACCGCUAGCGUAGAUGUGUCUCCACAGGAAAAUGAAAAUCCUAAAACUAUAAAGCAACAGACCCCAAAAACAUUUGACAAUCAUGCAAGCCAAGACACAUCUCGAGCUGAUGUUUGUCAAACGGAAAUGGAAAAAUCAGAAAUCCAAAAAACAGAGACUCCCAAAACCUCACAGAAUCCCGCUAGGCAAGACACAACUUGGGGAAAUGUUUGUCCGUGGGAGACAGAAAACACUCUAUCAGAAAAACUAGAGUCUCCCAAAAAGUUGGAGAGUUUUAGAAGGCAAGACACAACCCAAGAAGAUGUUUGUCCAUGGGAUACUGCGAAACCUGAGACUUUUAAAACCUCACAGAGUCACUUAAGACAAGACACAGCUCGGGUAAAUGUUUGUCCGUGGGAAACAGAUGAAACAGAACUAGUAAAAACUGAAGUAUCAGAACCAUCAGAGAAGCUUCAGAGACAGGAAACCACUCAAAAAAACAUAUCUGAAAAACCAGAGUUUUCAAAAAAGUCAGACAGUCUUAGAAGGCAAAUCACAGGCCGAGAAGAUGUUUGUCCAUGGGACACUGAGGAACCUGACACCUUGAAAACAUUACCGAGUCACUUAAGUCAAGAAAAGGCUCGGGUAAAUGUUUGUCCAUGGGAAAUAGGUGAAGUAGAAGAAGUCAAAACUGAAGUAUCAGAACCAUCAGAGAAGCUUCAGAGACAGGAAACCACUCAAAAAAACAUAUCUGAAAAACCAGAGCUUCCAAAAAAGUCAGAGAGUCUUAGAAGGGAAAUCACAGGCCGAGAAGAUGUUUGUCCAUGGGACACUGAGGAACCUGACACUUUGAAAACAUUACAGAGUCACUUAAGUCAAGACACAGCUCGGGCAAGUGUUUGUCCGUGGGAAACAGAUGAGGACGAAAUAGUCAAAACUGAGGUAUCAAAACCCCCAGUGAAGCUACAAAGACAAGGAACCCCCCAUGAAGAUAUUUGUCCAGGGGAAACAGAAACCCCAAAACCAUUUAAAAAACAAGAUGGCUCUCAAGCAGAUGUAUGCCCCUGGGAGGGGCUAUCUCAAUCAGAGGACACAAAAAGUGCAAAAAAGCAAGAUAGUAUUAGAGAAGAUGUCUGUCCAUGGGAGACAGAGGAACCGAACAUUACAAAAAAACAAGAAAGUGUUCGAGCAAACAUUUGUCCAUGGGAGAGUGAAGAAUCAGAGAUUGUCAAAAAGCAAGACAUCACAAUAGCAGAUGAAGACAGUGCUAAUGUACAAAGCAGUAGCAAACAUGAAGAGAACUGGAUGCCUGCUGAUGUGGAAGCAACUCCAGCAGCCGUGACCACAGAGCAGACGGAGGAGUUUAAAUCAAACUUGGCCCUGGGUCGGCGUGAUGCUUUGUGUCCUUGGGAGAUGGCAAGAAGCAGAUCCAGCUCCUUUACAGACAAUAACUCAGAUGUCUUUACAUGGGAGCCUGAAAAUAUUCCAGAGGAAGAUGAAGAGGAUGAUGCAGAGUGUGCAGCUGAGGCUCUGGUUUUCCCUCCUGAUUUCUGA